CAAAGCAGAGCUAGAUUAGUUUAGCGCCUCACUUACGUUGAGGAGUUUUAUUGUGCAAGUCGAUAUGCUUUGA
rnacentral:tRNA from 2 species